rnacentral:rRNA from 1 species
UUGGAGGGCAAGUCUGGUGCCAGCAGCCGCGGUAAUUCCAGCUCCAAUAGCGUAUAUUAAAGUUGUUGCAGUUAAAAAGCUCGUAGUUGAAUUUUGGGGUUAGUAGGUCGGUCAUGCCUCAGGUAUGCACUGGUCUCACUGAUUCCUCCUUCCUGAUGAGCCGUAAUGCCAUUAACUUGGUGUUGCGGGGAAUCUGGACUGUUACUUUGAAAAAAUUAGAGUGUUUAAAGCAGGCUAACGCUUGAAUACAUUAGCAUGGAAUAAUGGAAUAGGACGUUCGAUCCUAUUUUGUUGGUUUCUAGGAUUGACGUAAUGAUUAAUAGGGAUAGUUGGGGGCAUUAGUAUUCAAUUGUCAGAGGUGAAAUUCUUGGAUUUAUUGAAGACUAACUACUGCGAAAGCAUUUGCCAAGGAUGUUUUCAUUAAUCAAGAACGAAAGUUAGGGGAUCGAAGACGAUCAGAUACCGUCGUAGUCUUAACCA